rnacentral:rRNA from 1 species
CAGUCGCCGCGGGAAUACGAAGGGUGCAAGCGUUAAUCGGAAUUACUGGGCGUAAAGCGUGCGUAGGCGGUUUGUUAAGUCUGCUGUGAAAUCCCCGGGCUCAACCUGGGAAUGGCAGUGGAUACUGGCAAGCUAGAGUGUGUCAGAGGAUGGUGGAAUUCCCGGUGUAGCGGUGAAAUGCGUAGAGAUCGGGAGGAGCAUCAGUGGCGAAGGCGGCCAUCUGGGACAACACUGACGCUGAGGCACGAAAGCGUGGGGAGCAAACAGGAUUAGAUACCCGCGUAGUCCCUGUCUCUUAUAC